UAAGAGAGAUUCCAAAGAGGGGAGCC
rnacentral:piRNA from 1 species